rnacentral:sRNA from 1 species
GUUGUUCGUGGAUUUAUUGAUGCGCUCACAAGAGGGGGCCCCGGAGGUACACCUAGACCAAUUGAAAUGCAUUCUCAUGACCCUUUGAGGUAUAGUAAUCAGACAGCAGAAGAGGAGUUGAUGUUUUUUCAAAAAAAAUCUUUAUUAACAUUUGGUUUUCAUUAGGUAUGUAGGAGAUAUGUUGGCUUGGCUCCAUCAAGCUACUGCUUCUGAAAAGGAACACCUUGAAGCUCUCUUAAAGCAUGUAACUACACAAGGUGUUGAAGAAAAUAUUCAAGAAGUUGUUGGCCAUAUCACUGAAGGUGUGUGCAGGCCUCU